UGGCUCAGAACGAACGCUGGCGGCGUGCCUAACACAUGCAAGUCGAACGUGAAAGUCCUUCGGGAUGAGUAAAGUGGCGCACGGGUGAGUAAUGCGUAGAUAAUCUGCCUGGUGAUCUGGGAUAACAUCUCGAAAGGGGUGCUAAUACCGGAUAAGCCCACGGGGUCUUCGGAUCUUGCGGGAAAAGGGGGGGACCUUCGGGCCUUCUGUCAUCAGAUGAGUCUACGUACCAUUAGCUAGUUGGUAGGGUAAAGGCCUACCAAGGCGACGAUGGUUAGCUGGUCUGAGAGGAUGAUCAGCCACACUGGAACUGAGACACGGUCCAGACUCCUACGGGAGGCAGCAGUGGGGAAUUUUGCGCAAUGGGGGAAACCCUGACGCAGCAACGCCGCGUGAGUGAUGAAGGCCUUCGGGUCGUAAAGCUCUGUCAGAGGGAAAGAAAUGUGGGGCGCUAAUACCGCUACCACUUGACGGUACCCUCAAAGGAAGCACCGGCUAACUCCGUGCCAGCAGCCGCGGUAAUACGGAGGGUGCGAGCGUUGUUCGGAAUUAUUGGGCGUAAAGCGCGUGUAGGCGGUUUUAUAAGUCUGAUGUGAAAGCCCCGGGCUCAACCUGGGAAGUGCAUUGGAUACUGUAAGACUUGAGUACGGGAGAGGGCAGUGGAAUUCCUAGUGUAGGAGUGAAAUCCGUAGAUAUUAGGAGGAACACCGGUGGCGAAGGCGGCUGCCUGGACCGAUACUGACGCUGAGACGCGAAAGCGUGGGUAGCAAACAGGAUUAGAUACCCUGGUAGUCCACGCCGUAAACGAUGAGUACUAGGUGUUGCGGGUAUUGACCCCUGCAGUGCCGCAGCUAACGCAUUAAGUACUCCGCCUGGGAA
rnacentral:rRNA from 1 species